rnacentral:lncRNA from 1 species
AACCAUUAGCCCAAUUAUUGUUUUGCACAAAUCAUUUGAACUUUCGUACUGCUUUUGUUUUUUCAGAGAUGUGAAACAUAUGCUUCUGAAAGUAGUGGAACUACGAUCAAGUAACUGGGGUAGAGUUCAUGAAACUUCUCCACAUACAAAAGCUACUCCUGAAAAUGACCCUAACUAUUUUAUGGUAAGAAUGUACUGGUAUUUCAGUUCCUUAGUUUAAUAUGAAUUUGAUUCAUAGGCAGUCAUAUUGCUAAAAACUACAAACAUCUGUCUCUGAACUCAUAUAACUUACUGUAUAAUUUUAUUCUUAGAAUGAACCAACAUUUUACACUUCUGAUGGUGUUCCUUUUACUGCAGCAGAUCCAGAUUACCAAGAAAAAUACCAAGAACUGCUUGAAAGAGAGGAUUUGUUUCCAGACUAUGAAGAAAAUGGCGUGGCUUUAUCAGGACCUGGAGACCAGUAUUUUCAUGAUCUUGAUAACAAGAUGGAUCCAGAAAUUGAAGAAGCAUAUGAAAAAUUCUGUCUAGAAUCAGAACAUAAGAGAAAACAGUGAGAUGUUACACAAUAACAUUCAUUUAUUAAACCAGUUGUAGGUCUGGUUAGAGUACAGGGAGGCAAAAAACAUUUGUACCAAAAUGAGGAAGUUCACUUUCUAAAAGUACUCAAGAUACUCGAUUUCUAUUUUGUUAAACAGAAUCUUCCAAAAGUUGUGAACUUAUGCUUUGUAACUUAGUGUUGUGUAUCUAUCACAAUUUAUUUUAUGGACAGGUAUAUGAACAAUGUUUGGCUGCAAUAAAAUUGAUUUUAAAAGUAUCA